UACGAAGGGGGCGAGCGUUGUUCGGAAUUACUGGGCGUAAAGGGCGCGUAGGCGGCUCAUGAAGGCUGUGGUGAAAGUCCGGGGCUCAACCUCGGAUCGGCCGUGGCGACUCGUGGGCUGGAGCACUGUAGAGGCGGGUGGAAUUCCGGGUGUAGCGGUGGAAUGCGUAGAGACCCGGAGGAACACCAGUGGCGAAGGUCGGCU
rnacentral:rRNA from 1 species